rnacentral:rRNA from 1 species
UACGUAGGGGGCGAGCGUUGUCCGGAAUCAUUGGGCGUAAAGCGCGUGUAGGCGGCCUGAUAAGUCUGGUGUGAAAUCUUGGGGCUUAACCCCAAGCCUGCACUGGAUACUGUCAGGCUUGAGUCCGGGAGGGGAGAGCGGAAUUCCUAGUGUAGCGGUGAAAUGCGCAGAUAUUAGGAAGAACACCGGUGGCGAAGGCGGCUCUCUGGAACGGUACUGACGCUGAGACGCGAAAGCGUGGGGAGCGAACAGG